GCAUAUUACAUUGGCCUUUAAUUGAGGUCUAGAAUGAAUGAAUAAGAUGGGGAAAAACUGUCUUGGCUGUAUUAAUUAAAAGUUUCUUUAAGAGGUGAAAAUUCCUUUAAAAUUUUAAAUAGACGAGAAGACCCUAGGAGUUUAAAAAUAUUAUUUAGAAAAUAAAUUUUUUUUUGUUGGGGCGACAAUUUAACAAAAAACUUAAAUAAAAAAGUAGACAUAUCGAAAUUUUUAAUACAGAAUAAACUACCCUAGGGAUAACAGCAUAAUUUUUUUAAAGUUUGUGACCUCGAUGU
rnacentral:rRNA from 1 species